GGAUCAGGCGGAAGCCGGGGCCCGGGGCUGGGCUUCGUGUCCUGCGUUCCGGGAGCGCCAACCCCUCCAGGGAGAGGCUGUCGAUGCUGAGGCACGAGAGAAUUUGCUCCUGCUCCUCCAGAGAAAAUGGCUGGGACAGGCUGUUGAGGAAUAAUUCUGCAGGGAAAAGUGGAAGAUGGCUGUGAAAGACUGGGAGGAGGCUGGCUGUGUUUUCAGGGGUUCUUCCUGCACAGUCGGUAGAAGCUGAGCUGCUGGGGAAGGGGCUGGAAGAAAGCCCACACCGCAGGUAAAGAGAAACACCGGCCUCCGCGGGUGGCCCAGGGCCAGUGCUCAGGGCCCCACUGCAGCCACGGCUGCCCGUACCUAUUUCCAGCUGCUGCAGUUCCUGCUCCGGGACGGUUGCUUUCCGCUCUGGUGAGCUGGGGUUUCUGGCAGGGGCUGGCUCCAGGGAGGACAGAGGUAAGGGUUCCCACAUCCCAGACUCCUCCUUGCUCAAAGUCAAGGGAGGAGACUUGUUUGGCUCUGGGGGCUCUGGUGGGAGAGGAG
rnacentral:lncRNA from 1 species